rnacentral:rRNA from 1 species
AUUGAACGCUGGCGGCAGGCCUAACACAUGCAAGUCGAACGGGAGGCGGACGGGUGAGUAAGGUCUGGGCACCUGCCUGAUGGAGGGGGACAACUACUGGAAACGGUAGCUAAUACCGCCUACCAUCGGAUGUGCCGAGAUGGGAUGAGCUAGUUGGUGGGGUAACGGCUCACCAAGGCGACGAGCCCUAGCUGGUCUGAGAGGAUGACCAGCCACACUGGAACUGAGACACGGCCCAGACGCCUACGGGAGGCAGCAGUGGGGAAUGUUGCACAAUGGGCGAAAGCCUGAUGCAGCCAUGCCGCGUGUAUGAAGAAGGCCUUCGGGUUGUAAAGUACUUUCAGCGGGGAGGCGUUACCCGCAGAAUAAGCACCGGCUAACUACGUGCCAGCAGCCGCGGUAAUUC